rnacentral:rRNA from 1 species
AGAGGGUGCAAGCGUUAAUCGGAAUUACUGGGGCGUAAAGGGGCGCGUAGGGUUGUAACAUAAGUUGGAUGUAAAAUUCCCAGGCUUAACCUGGGACGGCCAUUCAAAACUGUGUGACUAGAGUACAGUAGAGGGAAGUGGAAUUUCCGGUGUAGCGGUGAAAUGCGUAGAUAUCGGAAGGAACACCUGUUGCGAAGGCGACUUUCUGGGCUGUUACUGACACUGAGGCGCGAAAGCGUGGGGAGCAAACAGGAUUAGAUACCCUGGUAGUCCACGCCGUAAACGAUGAAAACUAGCCGUUGGGUUUUUUAAAGUUCAGUGGCGCAGCUAACGCAUUAAGUUUUCCGCCUGGGGAGUACGGCCGCAAAGGCUA